rnacentral:rRNA from 1 species
AGCUCCAUUAGCGUAUAUUAAAGUUGUUGCAGUUAAAAAGCUCGUAGUUGGAUUUCGGUUCGGGUCGGGGCGGUGGCGUCGCGAGACGUCUACCUCCCGGCCAGUCUCUCUUCCCGAAGACUGCGUGUGCUCUUCAGUGGGUGCGCGUCGGGACUCGGGACGUUUACUUUGAAAAAAUUAGAGUGCUCAAAGCAGGCUUUACACGCUUGAAUAUUCGUGCAUGGAAUAAUAGAAUAGGACGUCGUUUCUAUUUUGUUGGUUUUCGGAAAUCGACGUAAUGAUUAAUAGGGACAGUCGGGGGCAUUAGUAUUCAGACGACAGAGGUGAAAUUCUUGGACCGUCUGAAGACUAACUACUGCGAAAGCAUUUGCCAAGAAUGUUUUCAUUAAUCAAGAACGAA